rnacentral:rRNA from 1 species
GAUGAACGCUGGCGGCGUGCCUAAUACAUGCAAGUCGAGCGAACGGACGAGAAGCUUGCUUCUCUGAUGUUAGCGGCGGACGGGUGAGUAACACGUGGAUAACCUACCUAUAAGACUGGGAUAACUUCGGGAAACCGUAGCUAAUACCGGAUAAUAUUUUGAACCGCAUGGUUCAAAAGUGAAAGACGGUCUUGCCGUCUCUUAUAGAUGGAUCCGCGCUGCAUUAGCUAGUUGGUAAGGUAACGGCUUACCAAGGCAACGAUGCAUAGCCGACCUGAGAGGGUGAUCGGCCACACUGGAACUGAGACACGGUCCAGACUCCUACGGGAGGCAGCAGUAGGGAAUCUUCCGCAAUGGGCGAAAGCCUGACGGAGCAACGCCGCGUGAGUGAUGAAGGUCUUCGGAUCGUAAAACUCUGUUAUUAGGGAAGAACAUAUGUGUAAGUAACUGUGCGCAUCUUGACGGUACCUAAUCAGAAAGCCACGGCUAACUACGUG